CACGUAGGGGACGAGCGUUGUCCGGAUUCAUUGGGCGUAAAGAGCUCGUAGGCGGUCUGUCGCGUCUGCUGUGAAAACUCAGGGCUUAACCCUGAGCUUGCAGUGGGUACGGGCAGACUAGAGUGCGGUAGGGGAGACUGGAAUUCCUGGUGUAGCGGUGAAAUGCGCAGAUAUCAGGAGGAACACCGGUGGCGAAGGCGGGUCUCUGGG
rnacentral:rRNA from 1 species